rnacentral:sRNA from 1 species
CGCAGGGUAAUUGCGCCCUCACGCAGGUGA